rnacentral:lncRNA from 1 species
AGUGCUUAGCCGGUGGUGACUGCACCUCGGUCGGCUUACGCUUUAUAAUUACGAUGCCUCCUUGUUCGAGGAACAAAACACUCUUUCCGAUACACAGACAACCAAGACUUAAGAUUAUUGACGUGUAAAUGAGAACGUUGCAAACUCUUAUGAGAAAAUCAGCGCAAAUACUAUAAACUUUACAUUACAAGCACAUUUAAAGCAUCGUGAAUUGAAGAUAACUUUUCGCAAUAGUCAAUAAAAUAGCACACACAAAACAACGUUCAUGUUCGCUGUAUAUGUUGAAGUGGCGCGUACGUAUUUUGUUAAUGAUACAGAAGUGCACACUGAUAGCCAAAGGACCUUGUUGUGCGUAUGAAUUGAAUUCAGCGUAACACUGUGUGAAUAACAAUUUCCGUACUUCGUUCGUGUGUCGCGACUGACUUCAUGUGGGGAACAUCAGCCAAUAACCGGACAUUGGUACUUUCAAUUCUGCCCCGGGUCAUUCAAAGCGCAUAGCCACGCGCUAUGAAGAAAAAGGAAGAGAGCUGAUGGAAUCUAAAGACCAAUGUAAAGAUAAUUUUGUUAAGAGAUGCAUGACCUCCGAUGAGAGGAGAAACCCACAGACAUGCCAGAAAAUAGCCUUUU